UACGUAGGAGGCAAGCGUUGUCCGGAAUUACUGGGCGUAAAGCGCGUGUAGGUGGUGGGACAAGUCUGCUGUGAAAGCGCCUGGCUUAACCGGGCGAGGUCGGCGGAAACUGUCCGACUCGAGGACGGUAGAGGGGGGUGGAAUUCCCGGUGUAGUGGUGAAAUGCGUAGAUAUCGGGAGGAACACCAGUGGCGAAGGCGGCUUCCUGGCCUGUUCUUGACGCUGAGGCGCGAAAGCUAGGGUAGCAAACGGG
rnacentral:rRNA from 1 species